rnacentral:rRNA from 1 species
UACAGAGGGUGCGAGCGUUAAUCGGAAUUACUGGGUGUAAAGGGUUCGUAGGCGGUGUGGCAAGUCGGGAGUGAAAUCUCUGGGCUCAACCCAGGGGCUGCUUCCGAAACUGCUGUGCUAGAGUGUGGGAGAGGCGCGUGGAAUUGCAGGUGUAGCGGUGAAAUGCGUAGAUAUCUGCAGGAACACCCGUGGCGAAAGCGGCGCGCUGGACCACUACUGACGCUGAGGAACGAAAGCUAGGGGAGCAAACAGG